AUUGAACGCUGGCGGCAGGCCUAACACAUGCAAGUCGAACGCGUGGCGGACGGGUGAGUAAUGUCUGGGAAACUGCCUGUUGGAGGGGGAUAACUACUGGAAACGGUAGCUAAUACCGCAUACCAUCGGAUGUGCCCAGAUGGGAUUAGCUAGUAGGUGGGGUAAAGGCUCACCUAGGCGACGAUCCCUAGCUGGUCUGAGAGGAUGACCAGCCACACUGGAACUGAGACACGGUCCAGACUCCUACGGGAGGCAGCAGUGGGGAAUAUUGCACAAUGGGCGCAAGCCGGAUGCAGCCAUGCCGCGUGGAUGAAGAAGGCCGUCGGGUUGUAAAGCACUUGCAGCGGGGAGGCGUUACCUGCAGAAGAAGCACCGGCUAACUCCGGGCCAGCAGCCGCGGUAAUAC
rnacentral:rRNA from 1 species